GACCGUCAUAGGGGCAGCGCGAGUUCCCAGGCUGUCCCGCCAGCUCACCCGGGAGGACCAAAAGCAAACAGGGAAAUUCUGGGUGGAGCCUCGACUUUGGUCAGCGCUCUUCAUAAACACCCUCCCCUGGUUUCGUGUGGGGAGGGAGCUUGAGUCCCGGGCCUGGAGGAAGGAUGAGAUAAAGACAGGCCCCCGCCCCACCCCCGGAGGCAGCCACCCUGGGAAACCUACGCGUCGGCCUCGGCUGGUGAGUGGGGUGCCGCACAGCACUCAGGGCAAGACGGCUCUCCGGUACUUCUAAUUUCAGGUCACCGUGGGACGUGUGCCAGUACCAAGAAGCUGACAUUGGUCCAGACUUGAAGUCGAUGUGUCCGCAGUCUUCCCACCGAAGACUCCCACUGGAAGCAUCCGAGCUGGAGAACGCACUGACCAUGGUCCUCUUGUCUCCCCAGGCUCCUCUGGGCCAUGUCACGUUGUCUUUUGAUACCUGCUCUGGGCCAAAGCGAGGGCCCUAGAGGUCCCCUUGUCACCCUGGAGGCUGCCUCCUUACCCAGCUGGGCCACCUUCACUGCAAACAGGUUUGCAGCCUCUCUUCUGGAACCUUCUCUAGGCCAGUCAUGGUGCAGGAGCAGAUGGGCUUCAUUGUUUUGUGGUCACUCGAAUGGGUGACCUGGGUUGGCUCCAGCAGCAGCCCUGCUGGGCUUGGCUCAGAACAGUGUCUGGCUGUUUCCACGUCG